GGGAAUGUAAUACUAUGGGGCGAAUGUCACCAAUGUAUAUAAAAGUAUUCUAAGGGAACAGUAGAGGUAUUUUCAAAUUGAGUUUGCAAUGGGCAACAUACGCUCAAACAUUCAAAUCAAGUGUCACAAAAAACUUUUUAUGCAAAAGUGAAGGACGGAAACAAGAGUCUGAACUUCAUGAUGAAAGAACAACCUGUGCUUUGUCAUAUCCUCCUUGAAGAUUAAUAGGAGAGUCCUACUGGUCUAUGAUGCAUGCUAGAAGACAACAUUUUGUUGGGGAUCUCCCUCUUGACCUCCCACACCGAGCUUUGCUGCCAAACUCUUGUUUGGUCGCUCUCUGAGAGUUGGCUCACUUGUAUAUCCUCUGGACUUCCUCUCCUCUGGUUGGUUAGGAGUCAGGAAACAGAAUGAAACUCCCAGCACAAACAGCUGCUGACAGUUGCACUCAGCAGUUAUCAGGUCACUCCCCUUCAAUCAACAGCUAUCAGGACACACCCCUUCCACUCAAGCGUCUCUGGAGCCCUUCAGCCUUUCCACCUACUCAGCUAACCACAGAGUAACUCAGAACAGCUGAGUACAUGGUGAGCACACCAUAUGAAUUUUAGGAAUUGGUUUUGCAUUUCCUUCCCCUUUGACUUGUAAACUAACAUAACCUUGUACCUCAUCUCUGAAUUUAAAAUAAAAUUGUAUUAAUGACUUUGAA